CCGCACCUCCACACCUCGUCCCAACUACUGACUGAACCCCAUGCCUUCUCCUUCCCAAUCUCUUUUCUCUCAACCGACCAGGGAAAGGAAAGUAGUAUAAAGAGCCCCCCACCAUUGCUGCCCUUCACUUCAUUCCAACUAUUCUUUUUCUGAAUAAGAGAGAAGUUCCACUGGCGUCACUUACUUCCCCUAUCUGCAGCGGCAUGUUUCUGUUUGUUCUUCUUUGCUUGCUACCGUGUCCGCCACUCCCCUUCCUUCCUCAUGCUGUAAGUUUGCGUAUGCGAAGAAGCACAAUCAUACUGUUAAUAAAGGUGGCGGAGAUGGUUAGCGGGCCGGAGAAGGAGAUCGUUGGGCUUGUCCACGGGUGCAUCGCACCGUGGCCCGAGGCAACCCUCUUGCCUUGUUAUUACCCUCACCCUCGAAGCACCACACCGCCCCCAUCUAUGCGAAGGUGGACCUCCGCGGCUCCGCCUGUUGCCGGGGGUUCGCACUGAAGCUGGUGCAGCGGAUGGAGGAGUGGUCUAAGGAGAAGGGGGCGGGGUACGCGUACAUGACGCCGGAGAAGGACAACUAAUCGUCUUUCCGCCUCUUCACUGGGCGGUGCGGUUACUCCAAGUUCCGCACCCCCGCCAUCCCGGUGCACCCCGUGUUAGCCCCCACCGCCUUCCCCUUCCCCCACGCGUCGCCAUCCUCCGCCUCACCCCCGCCGAUGCCCAGGCCCUGUACCGCCGCCGCUUCGCCGCCACCGAGUUCUUCCCCCCGACAUCGACAUCGUCCUCACCAACCCGCCCUCCCUGGGUACCUUCCUCGUUGUUCCUCCUUCCCUCGUGAUCCCGUGAACACGCACACGUGAACGACUGCGCGUGGGCCCUGUCCCGCAUUUGGGGAUUGUACCUCAGGUUAAUCUAAUCUAAUAUAAUCGAGUGGCAUCGUUAGGUCCCGUGGGACGACGGAGAAGGACACCGUGACGUCGACAACCUCCCUCGGCACCUUCCUCGCCGUCCCUCCUUCGCUAGUGAUCCCGUGAACACCCACCCGUGAACGACCACGUGGGCCCUGUCCCGCAGGUCAUCCCUCCCACCCGUGAACUCCGCAACAAGGCGUGGGGGACCUCGGCUCCCGAGCGGUGGCGGCGUGCGAGCCGCUCUCCCAAUCACUGUCUUUAAUACUUCCUCGCCGUCCCUCCUUCCCCCAUGAACACGCACGCGUUAACGCCCGCACGUGGGCCCUGUCCCGCAGGUCGGUCCCUCCAACCCGUGAACUCUGUAACAGGGCGUGGGGGAUUGCAUCUUAGGCUAAUCUAAUCUAAUCUAAUCGAGUGGCAGACGAUGGAGGCAUGUUCUAAGGAGAAGAGGGCGGAGUACGCGUUCAUGGCGACGGAGAAGGACACCGUGGCAUCGACGCCGUCCUCGUCAACCCGCCCUCCCUCGGCACCUUCCGCGCGGUGGACCGGGCGCUGCCGUGGCUGCGCAUCCCCCGCUGGAGCGGCUCGCACGCCGCCACCACUCGGCAGCCGCGGUCCACGACCUGUUGUGCACGUGACGGAGUUCACGGAUGGGUGUGAGGUAUCACGAGACCUUCUUGCGGGGCAGGAUCACGAGACCUGCAGCAGGUUCACUCGUCCUCUUGCGGGGCAGGAUCACUCGUCCUCUUGCGGGGCAAGAGGACAGGAUCACUCGUCCUCUUGCGGGGCAGGAUCACUCGUCCUCUUGCGGGGCAGGAUCACGAGACCUGCAGCAGGUUCACUCGUCCUCUUGCGGGGCAGGAUCACCAGACCUGCAGCAGGUUCACUCGUCCUCUUGCGGGGCAGGAUCACUCGUCCUCUUGCGGGGCAGGAUCACGAGACCUGCAGCAGGUUCACUCGUCCUCUUGCGGGGCAGGCUCACGGGGCAGGCUCACGAGACCUGCUUGUACGAGAUCUGCCGGACGCGACGUGGGCAGACAACGGAGACGACGUGGUGGCUGUCGACCAUGAGGUUCCACUUCAGAGACGCGAAUGAUGCGGGACCCACAGGACCAACGCUGAACAUUACGCAUCGCACAAAGUAGCUCACGUCGUUGUCGCGGGCACUCACCUCACGGGUGGGCUGGCUUUUGAGAGGGAGUAGGUCGAACCAUUGUCUAUAAAAUGAUACUCAUAGUACAACAACGAGUACGAGUUGUGAAAUAGAUUCGAGUUGUGAAAUAGUAGCGUGCGAAGGAUGGCUGGUGUGGUGCUAUUUAUUUUUAUGUUGUUUAUAAUGAUUAUUUUAAUAUUUUUUAUUGGUGAA